UCCUCCGUGGCGCAAUUGGCUAGCGCGUUCGGCUGUUAUUGCGAUAGCAGUUGGCGGUACCGGAAGGUUGGUGGUUCGAGCCCACCCGGGGGAG